CUAUCCAAAUAAUUCUUUUACCUUCGUUUUUGAACGUAGGAGCUCCGAACAACGUAUUGUUUCACCCGCCCAAUUGUUAUUUUGCUGACGAAAAUAGCAAAGCAAGUCGAAGAUGACGCCGACACUCGAGAUGAGCGAUCGUCUCCUGCAACUGUCAUUUCUGUUAGCAUCACUCUGAUGCUUCGCUCAAACAGUAAAAACCUUCGAUCCAUAUAAGUUUCUUGGUGUUGAGCGAAACACAAGCCAAGGGAAAUUCAGAAAGCUUUCCCCAGCUUUCCUUUCAAGAUCACCCUGAUAAAAACAAAAACAAUGGUGCCCAAGAAAAGUUUGCUUUGAUCAACAAUGCACGAGGUUCUAUCUGAUGAAGAAAAGAGGAAGAAUUAUGAUCUAUAUGGGAAUGAGAAGGGAACCCCCAGGCUUGAAGCAGGUAGUCCUGGGGAUGAUGGGGGUAUUACUUACUUCACCCAUGGUGGCCCUGGAAAUGAUCGGUUUAAAUUUAGAACAAAGUGGCAGAGAAUGGAUGGUUAAAGGAAACACCAAGUCAUUCUCCUUUUGUCAAAGUUCAUUCAGUUUUGGUUUCGAUAGUAUCUUCUCCAAUCUUUUUGGGUUGAUAUGAAAGGUGGGAACUGUUUUGGUGGUUAAAGUAGCUCAGCUGGAUCUCAUACUGACUCUAGUAGGUCCCCUAAAAGCAUCUGGGCUGUUAAUUCACACAGGUUUAAGAAGGAAAUAGCAGAUCAAGGAAUCUCUUGGCUUUAUUAGCUUACAAUCCCACAUUUAAAGACAGCGAUUGUGUAUUCAUUGUAGAGGAGGUAGCCACCUCAUUGCAAGGAGCUCUGAAGGAGUUGAUUCACUUCCAGCUGUUGUUGGCUGGAUGACUAAUGGGGAGAAGCACAUACUGAAGAUGGGAAUUUUUGUACAAGUUUUGAAAUCUGCUAUCCACGAUCUGAGUGUUUUACACAGGGACUUUGAGAAAAAGAAUAACGUGGCUUCAAGUUGGGCAACGAGGCCGUAUUCUGAAACACGAGGGAAAAAUAUACCACUGCUUUUGAGUUCAAAUAUGGAUACCCUAUGUGGAGAGACAACACCUGUUUGCAUUAUAGGUGCUUUCAGAUCAUCCAAAGCGAAGGAGAAGUUGGAAACCAUUCUGUUUACAGUGAUUGAUCCUUCUUUUGAAACUUUUCAUUUUAUUGACUAUGGAACAUGGGAAAAAAAAAAAAAAAAAAACUCAGGACUCUCUCUCACGAAGCAGGAUUUGCUUUAGUGCUAUGAAAUUGCUUUGUAUCACUAAACCUUCUAUCAAAUGCUUGGGUUUGGCUAGAUUCCACCAUGACAUUACUGUUGAGUUUUUUUUUUUUCUUAACCUGCUACUUACCCUUUGCAUCACCUUAUAUAUGGUUUCUGCUAUUAAAACAAUUGGUGUCGGAUUUGGGACUGAGUUGAUUCUUGGUUCUGUUAAUGUAAAAUUAUAUUUUUCUU